CCCUGUCUACCUGUGGCCUCCUGAAGCACUUGCAGCAGAUCCGCACUCCUUUGAGCUCAGUCUUAGUGCCACCCACAUCUGAGCCUCACUGGAGCUGGCAAGAACCCUGAAUGGAGCAGCCCCUCAAGCCGCUCUGGGAGGUGAGAUCUCUUCCAGUGCCCACCUCAUCCACAGCUCUGUGAGCCAUUCCAGCACAGCAAGGAGCUGCCACCACAUAACCUUGCCUGGGACUGAGGCCAUCAACCCGCUGCAUGCUCCAACAAUCCAGACAUCCACUGAGCUUCCUGCUGCCAGCCUUGACAUAAGAAGUCCAGCUGGAUGGUUUGUGCUCAUCACUCCUCUACCAGCAAUAAGAGCUCUGCUGCCUUUAAUGUCACACCCAGCUGCGGAGAACUACAUUGAAAUUGUUGGUUCUCUAGAGAGUAGUUGGGAAUGACAGCACUUAUUCUCCCUGGGACUCUGGUGAUGGAGUGGGAUCCCAGUGCCCAGAACGUGUUCAGGGAGCUGCACCUGAUCCCUGAACUACCCGCAAGACCCUUUGCAGAUGGGUGACACACAGCAAACAGAGCAGCAGCCAGCCAUUCUGCUGUGAAAGGCAGUGGGUUCAUCAUUGCUGGGGAUUUGGAGGGAUGCAGAGCUGUACCAGACAGAGCUCUCAUUAUUGGUGGGGUGCUGUGGUAUUCAAGGACAACCCCACGUCCAAGGAGAACCAAGGAACCCACCACUGACUCCUGAGUCUCUUUCCUGCCUCAUCUGCUAAUGGCUAAUGGGAAAAAAUGGGGUGACACAGCUGCUGCAAUUGGAGACCAUUUCCAAGGGACAAUUCAAGACUGUCUUGAGCAGAGUGAGGAGAAAACAAACACAGCAGUCUCUGACAGCAUGAAAGCAUUGCAAAAUGUCAACUAUCUGCUCACUACAGCUGCUGUGGGUGUCCUGCAAACCGCAGCAGCAGAAAAAAUAAUGGCAGCAAUACAGAGAGUAAAAAGCUCCUGCAAAGGGGAAGAAACCUUUAUCAA